rnacentral:rRNA from 1 species
GACGAACGCUGGCGGCGUGCCUAAUACAUGCAAGUAGAACGCACAGUUUAUACCGUAGCUUGCUACACCAUAGACUGUGAGUUGCGAACGGGUGAGUAACGCGUAGGUAACCUGCCUGGUAGCGGGGGAUAACUAUUGGAAACGAUAGCUAAUACCGCAUAAUAUUAAUUAUUGCAUGAUAAUUAAUUGAAAGGUGCAAUUGCACCACUACCAGAUGGACCUGCGUUGUAUUAGCUAGUAGGUGAGGUAACGGCUCACCUAGGCGACGAUACAUAGCCGACCUGAGAGGGUGAUCGGCCACACCGGGACUGAGACACGGCCCAGACUCCUACGGGAGGCAGCAGUAGGGAAUCUUCGGCAAUGGACGAAAGUCUGACCGAGCAACGCCGCGUGAGUGAAGAAGGUUUUCGGAUCGUAAAGCUCUGUUGUAAGAGAAGAACGGGUGUGAGAGCGGAAAGUUCACACUGUGACGGUAUCUUACCAGAAAGGACGGU